rnacentral:rRNA from 1 species
AUACGAAGGGGGCUAGCGUUGCUCGGAAUUACUGGGCGUAAAGGGAGCGUAGGCGGACAUUUAAGUCAGGGGUGAAAUCCCAGAGCUCAACUCUGGAACUGCCUUUGAUACUGGGUGUCUUGAGUGUGAUAGAGGUAUGUGGAACUCCGAGUGUAGAGGUGAAAUUCGUAGAUAUUCGGAAGAACACCAGUGGCGAAGGCGACAUACUGGAUCAUUACUGACGCUGAGGCUCGAAAGCGUGGGGAGC